AUUUGUCUUGGCACAUCACAUUUAUUUAUUUUUCUUAAUAUAAAAAUGCAAAACUUUUCUCUAUUUUAAUCAGCAAGAUUUUUUGAGCCAGUAAACAAAUUGUUUUAAUAUGCAAUAAUCUUUUUUUUUUUUUUUUUUAAAUAAAAGUACAACUUAUUAAGUAGCAUACUAUGUUAAAAGAAUGAAAUGAACAUUUUUUUUUUUUUCAAAAACUCAAAAUCAGGUGAUGUUGAUUUUUAAAAUGAGAACAUUUGACUGCUUCUACCAUGUGAACAAUUACAAGUAGGAUUAAGCAUUUCUCAGUUUAAGACUACACUGCAGCAAGAAAAACACAACUCACUCUUAAGAUAUAAACAGGGAGUGAAAAUACAUGAUUUUAAGACAAAGACUGUACAUUUUACCAUCAAAUUCAAAACUUUAUUACACUAAGAGAAAAAUGCCAAGAGACAGAUGAAAAAAAAAAA